rnacentral:rRNA from 1 species
UACAGAGGGUGCAAGCGUUGUUCGGAAUCAUUGGGCGUAAAGCGCGUGUAGGCGGCUCGGUAAGUCUGCUGUGAAAGUCCAGGGCUCAACCCUGGGAUGCCGGUGGAUACUGUCGAGCUCGAGUCCGGAAGAGGCGAGUGGAAUUCCUGGUGUAGCGGUGAAAUGCGCAGAUAUCAGGAGGAACACCAAUGGCGAAGGCAGCUCGCUGGGACGUGACUGACGCUGAGACGCGAAAGCGUGGGGAGCAAACAGG